rnacentral:rRNA from 2 species
GGGUUGUGAGGUUAAGCGACUAAGCGUACACGGUGGAUGCCCUGGCAGUCAGAGGCGAUGAAGGACGUGCUAAUCUGCGAUAAGCGUCGGUGAGGUGAUAUGAACCGUUAUAACCGGCGAUUUCCGAAUGGGGAAACCCAGUGUGUUUCGACACACUAUCAUUAACUGAAUCCAUAGGUUAAUGAGGCGAACCGGGGGAACUGAAACAUCUAAGUACCCCGAGGAAAAGAAAUCAACCGAGAUUCCCCCAGUAGCGGCGAGCGAACGGGGAGGAGCCCAGAGCCUGAAUCAGUGUGUGUGUUAGUGGAAGCGUCUGGAAAGGCGCGCGAUACAGGGUGACAGCCCCGUACACAAAAAUGCACAUAUUGUGAGCUCGAUGAGUAGGGCGGGACACGUGGUAUCCUGUCUGAAUAUGGGGGGACCAUCCUCCAAGGCUAAAUACUCCUGACUGACCGAUAGUGAACCAGUACCGUGAGGGAAAGGCGAAAAGAACCCCGGCGAGGGGAGUGAAAAAGAACCUGAAACCGUGUACGUACAAGCAGUGGGAGCCUCUUAAUGGGGUGACUGCGUACCUUUUGUAUAAUGGGUCAGCGACUUAUAUUCUGUAGCAAGGUUAACCGAAUAGGGGAGCCGAAGGGAAACCGAGUCUUAACUGGGCGUUAAGUUGCAGGGUAUAGACCCGAAACCCGGUGAUCUAGCCAUGGGCAGGUUGAAGGUUGGGUAACACUAACUGGAGGACCGAACCGACUAAUGUUGAAAAAUUAGCGGAUGACUUGUGGCUGGGGGUGAAAGGCCAAUCAAACCGGGAGAUAGCUGGUUCUCCCCGAAAGCUAUUUAGGUAGCGCCUCGUGAAUUCAUCUCCGGGGGUAGAGCACUGUUUCGGCAAGGGGGUCAUCCCGACUUACCAACCCGAUGCAAACUGCGAAUACCGGAGAAUGUUAUCACGGGAGACACACGGCGGGUGCUAACGUCCGUCGUGAAGAGGGAAACAACCCAGACCGCCAGCUAAGGUCCCAAAGUCAUGGUUAAGUGGGAAACGAUGUGGGAAGGCCCAGACAGCCAGGAUGUUGGCUUAGAAGCAGCCAUCAUUUAAAGAAAGCGUAAUAGCUCACUGGUCGAGUCGGCCUGCGCGGAAGAUGUAACGGGGCUAAACCAUGCACCGAAGCUGCGGCAGCGACACUAUGUGUUGUUGGGUAGGGGAGCGUUCUGUAAGCCUGUGAAGGUGUACUGUGAGGUAUGCUGGAGGUAUCAGAAGUGCGAAUGCUGACAUAAGUAACGAUAAAGCGGGUGAAAAGCCCGCUCGCCGGAAGACCAAGGGUUCCUGUCCAACGUUAAUCGGGGCAGGGUGAGUCGACCCCUAAGGCGAGGCCGAAAGGCGUAGUCGAUGGGAAACAGGUUAAUAUUCCUGUACUUGGUGUUACUGCGAAGGGGGGACGGAGAAGGCUAUGUUGGCCGGGCGACGGUUGUCCCGGUUUAAGCGUGUAGGCUGGUUUUCCAGGCAAAUCCGGAAAAUCAAGGCUGAGGCGUGAUGACGAGGCACUACGGUGCUGAAGCGACAAAUGCCCUGCUUCCAGGAAAAGCCUCUAAGCAUCAGGUAACAUCAAAUCGUACCCCAAACCGACACAGGUGGUCAGGUAGAGAAUACCAAGGCGCUUGAGAGAACUCGGGUGAAGGAACUAGGCAAAAUGGUGCCGUAACUUCGGGAGAAGGCACGCUGAUAUGUAGGUGAAGCGACUUGCUCGUGGAGCUGAAAUCAGUCGAAGAUACCAGCUGGCUGCAACUGUUUAUUAAAAACACAGCACUGUGCAAACACGAAAGUGGACGUAUACGGUGUGACGCCUGCCCGGUGCCGGAAGGUUAAUUGAUGGGGUUAGCGGUAACGCGAAGCUCUUGAUCGAAGCCCCGGUAAACGGCGGCCGUAACUAUAACGGUCCUAAGGUAGCGAAAUUCCUUGUCGGGUAAGUUCCGACCUGCACGAAUGGCGUAAUGAUGGCCAGGCUGUCUCCACCCGAGACUCAGUGAAAUUGAACUCGCUGUGAAGAUGCAGUGUACCCGCGGCAAGACGGAAAGACCCCGUGAACCUUUACUAUAGCUUGACACUGAACAUUGAGCCUUGAUGUGUAGGAUAGGUGGGAGGCUUUGAAGUGUGGACGCCAGUCUGCAUGGAGCCGACCUUGAAAUACCACCCUUUAAUGUUUGAUGUUCUAACGUGGGCCCCUUACCGGGGUUGCGGACAGUGUCUGGUGGGUAGUUUGACUGGGGCGGUCUCCUCCUAAAGAGUAACGGAGGAGCACGAAGGUUGGCUAAUCCUGGUCGGACAUCAGGAGGUUAGUGCAAUGGCAUAAGCCAGCUUGACUGCGAGCGUGACGGCGCGAGCAGGUGCGAAAGCAGGUCAUAGUGAUCCGGUGGUUCUGAAUGGAAGGGCCAUCGCUCAACGGAUAAAAGGUACUCCGGGGAUAACAGGCUGAUACCGCCCAAGAGUUCAUAUCGACGGCGGUGUUUGGCACCUCGAUGUCGGCUCAUCACAUCCUGGGGCUGAAGUAGGUCCCAAGGGUAUGGCUGUUCGCCAUUUAAAGUGGUACGCGAGCUGGGUUUAGAACGUCGUGAGACAGUUCGGUCCCUAUCUGCCGUGGGCGCUGGAGAACUGAGGGGGGCUGCUCCUAGUACGAGAGGACCGGAGUGGACGCAUCACUGGUGUUCGGGUUGUCAUGCCAAUGGCACUGCCCGGUAGCUAAAUGCGGAAGAGAUAAGUGCUGAAAGCAUCUAAGCACGAAACUUGCCCCGAGAUGAGUUCUCCCUGACUCCUUGAGAGUCCUGAAGGAACGUUGAAGACGACGACGUUGAUAGGCCGAGUGUGUAAGCGCAGCGAUGCGUUGAGCUAACCGGUACUAAUGAACCGUGAGGCUUAACCUUACAACGCCGAAG